rfam:Haloferax mediterranei ATCC 33500, complete genome.
GGCCGAUGACGACGGCACCGUUCCGAACCGAACUAGGCACUCGGUGAUGCGGAGCCCUAUGAGUGCCGAGGCC